UUUAACACGCGCACGCUGCCCCCACCAGUGCCCGCGGACGGCGAUGCUGCGGCUCCGCGCCCGCUGCGAUCCCGGACGGGGACACGCGUGGGGAAUGAGGGUCUGCGGGGGGGUUUCUCGCAGCCUGGGUGUCACCGUGGGGGGGAUUUAAAAACGCGGGGUCCGCGGCUCCUCCGUGGGAGGGCGAUCUGCUCGGGGUUUGCUCGCUUUGAGCGAUGCCAAUUCUAUCCCCGCAGGUUUCUCCAAAGUCUUGGGGGCAGAGUGGGGAGAGAGCGAGGCAAAGCGGCUGCCCGGGAGCCUGCGCUUACUUUAGGUGUAAAAGCUGCGCCUCCCAGUGCAGAUGGAUUUUUACAACAGUCAUUCUGAAACUUCAUGGAUCAGGUUUUAUUCCUUCUAAACCUCCUGGUCGCUGUCGCUGUGCAGCAGGAAUUGAUGUCUUGUCCUUACGCCUCGCAGAUCUGACGGGGUUUUCUCGACCUCCAGAAGCUCAGCUGUCCCCCCGAGCGGACCCACGUCCAUCAGCCGCAAUCCAAAAGAGCCAAAUCCUUUCUUAAUACAGCAAAAAAUAUCUUUAUCCCGCCCGAAAGUCCUCAGCCGUGUUUAAGGCACUUAACUGCCGACACCUCUGAAACAGUUAAAGUAUUUAGGACACCGUAGAAUGGCCAAAAACUCGGGAAAAACAAGGCAAAUUGGAGAAAGGUCAUCUGAGGCUGGGACUGGGAGAAUUCCCUUCUUUGAAAUCCCCAGCAGAGUUGAGAAGCUGGUACCAACCCUCCUGUUCCCAUGGACUGAGGUCAGCCACAUCCAAAUUUGCUGGGAAUUCUGUAUGUGCAUGCAGACACUUGUUUUCCCAUUAAAAAAAAAUAAAAAGGAGAAAAAUAUAAGUCUGUAAUUGAAGCUGCUGAGACUGCAGUUUCGGAGCAGCCCUGCUGUGAUGUAUCAGUUCCUUCUUCUUCAUUUUCCAGCUUCCCCAGCAUCCUGUUGUGCACCAAUAUAUGUCUGUGCUGCAUCUUUCCCACUCUCUCCCCCACUAAUUCUUGGAUUCCUAGUGAUUAUGCCUGUAUUGCUUAUUUUGCAAGAUGUCUGAUUAUUUGUUUGAAAUAAUAUUGUAUUUUUUUUUUUUACAGUUCCAAUGGCAAGGUUUGGAAUAUAUGGUUUUUAAGCUCUAGUGUGUUUCUGUACAAAGGCAUUUUUGACUCUUUAUAUGUUUUGGGCAUUAUUACUGAUUCCAGAGUAAGAUCUCGGCUGUUAAAGCCCUUAGUCAUAUAGUUUUUAUUAUUUGUAUUCCCAAAGUAGGGAGAAGUCUAAAUGUGAGAGAGAAUCCCAGCAUCAUGUGAAUACAUGUGAACAAAUGGACUGUCCCACAGAUGUGAGAAAUGAGAAUGGCCUCUAACAUGGUUUGUUACAUUUGUGGUUUUGUGCUGUAACUGAGCAGGGCAGUUCCCUGUGAUUAAUUACCCACGUCAAAGACGCCAAAGUCUUGUUCUGCUUUAUUAGUUCUGUCCAAACAAGAUCACUCCAUUUAGAUCUUAUUAAAGGUUGUUUAUUUUUCUAGCUGUGGAGAGGGAAAAAUCACCAGGCAGUGAGGCUUUUUUGUUUUUAUUUGAAUAGUUUAAUUCAGGGAGGAGUCCCUCAGCUUCUCUGACAUUGGCCAACUCAUGUCCUGAAGUCAUGUUUCAGCUGAUUGCUCAGACAAUUAAACUCUCACGUGCUGUUAAAGACUCCGGAACCUGCUGUCACUCACACUUCCAGUUCAGAUCUCCAGUGACCAGCUGAGGAUUGGAGCUUCAGCCCUUCUCCACAUUCCCAAAAAGGGGAGAAAAUUUCAGUCCAGGAAAGACUCUGACAGGUUGGAUGAGGUUUUUGGAAAAGGAGAUGCUGUUUGAAAAAGAGUUGCAACAUAGAAGGUUUUCCUCACCAAGUGGGAUGAGCAAUGCCUGCAAUUCACCCACCCCAAAAGAUGUAAAUCACUGCAUUCUUCU